rnacentral:rRNA from 1 species
AUUGAACGCUGGCGGCAUGCCUUACACAUGCGAGUCGAACGGUAACGGGUCCUUCGGGAUGCCGACGAGUGGCGAACGGGUGAGUAAUAUAUCGGAACGUGCCCAGUAGUGGGGGAUAACUGCUCGAAAGAGCAGCUAAUACCGCAUACGACCUGAGGGUGAAAGGGGGGGAUCGCAAGACCUCUCGCUAUUGGAGCGGCCGAUAUCAGAUUAGCUAGUUGGUGGGGUAAAGGCCUACCAAGGCAACGAUCUGUAGUUGGUCUGAGAGGACGACCAGCCACACUGGGACUGAGACACGGCCCAGACUCCUACGGGAGGCAGCAGUGGGGAAUUUUGGACAAUGGGCGCAAGCCUGAUCCAGCAAUGCCGCGUGCAGGAAGAAGGCCUUCGGGUUGUAAACUGCUUUUGUCAGGGAAGAAAUCUUCUGGGCUAAUACCCCGGGAGGAUGACGGUACCUGAAGAAUAAGCACCGGCUAACUACGUG